CGGAGGGUCCAAGCGUUAUCCGGAAUCAUUGGGUUUAAAGGGUCCGUAGGCGGUUUUGUAAGUCAGUGGUGAAAGCCCAUCGCUCAACGGUGGAACGGCCAUUGAUACUGCAAGACUUGAAUUAUUGGGAAGCAACUAGAAUAUGUAGUGUAGCGGUGAAAUGCUUAGAUAUUACAUGGAAUUACCAAUUGCGAAGGCAGGUUGCUACCAAUACAUUGACGCUGAUGGACGAAAGCGUGGGGAGCGAACAGGAUUAGAUACCCUGGUAGUCCACGCCGUAAACGAUGGAUACUAGCUGUUCGGAGCAAUCUGAGUGGCUAAGCGAAAGUGAUAAGUAUCCCACCUGGGGAGUACAUUCGCAAGAAUG
rnacentral:rRNA from 1 species